GUAGCUUUGAUUUUGGGAACUUUUGUUAUUAUUUAAUUUUUUAAAGUUAAUUUACGAGAAUGGUUUUUAUUUUCUGAAAGAACUUUUUUCUUUUCUUGUUCUUUGCUUUUUUGGGUUAUAAUUUCUGUAACUCCAUAAAAUAAAGUGAAGUUCAGUGCGGAUCUGGCAUGGUAGGUAGCAAUGUCCCUCUUGUACCAAGAUUUUAUGUUGCAUUGUUU
rnacentral:misc_RNA from 1 species